UGAGCAAACUGCCCUUCUCAUCGGAAUAAGCGUUGGAAACGACGUCUAAUGCCGAAUACGACCUCCUUUCGCAUGAUCGGAGGUGGAAAGCUCCGGCGGAGAAGGAUGAGCUCGCGGCCUAUCAGCUAGUUGGUGUGGGUAACGCCCACCAAGGCGACAACGGGUAGCCGGCCUGAGAGGGUGACCGGCCACACUGGGACUGAGACACGGCCCAGACUCCGUACGGGAGCAGC
rnacentral:rRNA from 1 species